UCCUGACUGACCGAUAGUGAACCAGUACCGUGAGGGAAAGGCGAAAAGAACCCCGGCGAGGGGAGUGAAAAAGAACCUGAAACCGUGUACGUACAAGCAGUGGGAGCACAGAGCAAUCUGUGUGACUGCGUACCUUUUGUAUAAUGGGUCAGCGACUUAUAUUCUGUAGCAAGGUUAACCGAAUAGGGGAGCCGAAGGGAAACCGAGUCUUAACUGGGCGUUAAGUUGCAGGGUAUAGACCCGAAACCCGGUGAUCUAGCCAUGGGCAGGUUGAAGGUUGGGUAACACUAACUGGAGGACCGAACCGACUAAUGUUGAAAAAUUAGCGGAUGACUUGUGGCUGGGGGUGAAAGGCCAAUCAAACCGGGAGAUAGCUGGUUCUCCCCGAAAGCUAUUUAGGUAGCGCCUCGUGAAUUCAUCUCCGGGGGUAGAGCACUGUUUCGGCAAGGGGGUCAUCCCGACUUACCAACCCGAUGCAAACUGCGAAUACCGGAGAAUGUUAUCACGGGAGACACACGGCGGGUGCUAACGUCCGUCGUGAAGAGGGAAACAACCCAGACCGCCAGCUAAGGUCCCAAAGUCAUGGUUAAGUGGGAAACGAUGUGGGAAGGCCCAGACAGCCAGGAUGUUGGCUUAGAAGCAGCCAUCAUUUAAAGAAAGCGUAAUAGCUCACUGGUCGAGUCGGCCUGCGCGGAAGAUGUAACGGGGCUAAACCAUGCACCGAAGCUGCGGCAGCGACGCUUAUGCGUUGUUGGGUAGGGGAGCGUUCUGUAAGCCUGUGAAGGUGUACUGUGAGGUAUGCUGGAGGUAUCAGAAGUGCGAAUGCUG
rnacentral:rRNA from 1 species